UUUCGAAUCGUUCACAAUGGGGGCAACCCUGAUGGCGCGACGCCGCGUGGGGGAUGAAGGUCUUCGGAUUGUAAACUCCUGUCAUUGGGGACUAAUGGCCAGGCUCAUACCCUGGUUUGAAUUAACCCAAAGAGGAAGCAGUGGCUAACUCUGUGCCAGCAGCCGCGGUAAUACAGAGACUGCAAGCGUUACUCGGAUUCACUGGGCGUAAAGGGAGCGCAGGCGGACUCGUGUGUCGGACGUGAAAUACCGGGGCUCAACCCCGGGGCUGCGUCCGAAACUACGAGUCUAGAGACUUGGAGGGGUAAGCGGAAUUCUUGGUGGAGCAGUGAAAUGCGUAGAUAUCAAGAGGAACACCAACGGCGAAGGCAGCUUACUGGACAAGAUCUGACGCUCAGGCUCGAAAGCGUGGGGAGCAAAAGGG
rnacentral:rRNA from 1 species